GAAUUUUAAGAACAUGUGAAGAACAGCACUGGACUCCUUGCGCAGGCUGAGAACUCCCUUGGUAGGGGUUACCUCCUCCAGCAUUUCACAUUCUGAUUUCUCAUGGUUCUGGUUUGGGCCCAGUUCAGUUGCCAUCUUCUCUGGGAAGCUCCUUUCUCCUGCCCCAUCCAUGGUCUGAGUGCACCUGGGCUCAUGCAUCCAGGUCCAGGUUCUGUCCAGGGUCAAGAAGGUCAACUUGAGAGAGAAAUGAGCUCUUUUUCAGAAUCCACUGGAGAAAAGACCAACAUUUCUAGGAGAGGUAAAGAAUGUAAUAGCAAUACAAUCUACCAACCAAUCAUGGGUUAAGGGUCUGAGAGAAACCUGAUCAUGAACCAGUCUGAGGCCUAUCAGUGACAAAAAUGACCUUUGCCCAGACACUAGGCAUGUCUGAGCCGCUGAACAAGGUUUUAAUCCAGGAGGUGUUGAAAGAGCCUAUUAAAUACUUAUUCUAUUGAGUCAAAUCCAAGAGUUUGAAGAAAAAUGCGAAGUUUGUUUUCUGUGCCCCUCUACCAUGUGAGAUGUGACUGAGGGAAAAUGGUAAACCAGACCCUCUAAUAGACCCUCUGAUGGAUGAUGGGCCCCAGAGUCCCAUGCUGGGCCCUAGACUAUUGUUCCUGUGCACAGAAGUGGGAAAUGCUCCCAGGAAGGACAGAUUAACUGGCUGCACUGGACACCUUUCAGAAAGGGAGCAAGAACUGUCCUUUGCACCUCGGCCAUUUCUGCCCCAGAUGACACCAAUCGAGGGAAUAUAUAUAUAUUCAUUUCCUAGGAAUGCAUAACC